AAACAGAUGCUAAUACCGGAUAAAAAGCUACUUUCGCAUGAAAGAAAGUUUUAAAAAAGGCGGCGUAAGCUGUCGCUAAAGGAUGGACCUGCGAUGCAUUAGCUAGUUGGUAAGGUAACGGCUUACCAAGGCGAUGAUGCAUAGCCGAGUUGAGAGACUGAUCGGCCACAUUGGGACUGAGACACGGCCCAAAACUCCUACGGGAGGCAGCAGUAGGGAAUUUUCCACAAUGGACGCAAGUCUGAUGGAGCAACGCCGCGUGAGUGAAGAAGGUUUUCGGAUCGUAAAGCUCUGUUGUUGGUGAAGAAGGAUAGAGGUAGUAACUGGCCUUUAUUUGACGGUAAUCAACCAGAAAGUCACGGGCUAACUACGUGCCAGCAGCCGCGGAAAAU
rnacentral:rRNA from 1 species